rnacentral:lncRNA from 1 species
AAUGCAGCCAGAAGCAAAUAAGCACAGAAUUUGAUACAGACAAGCCUAAAGGACACUGUGCCUGGACCAGGGUUUCCUGCUCUUUAAACCCUGGCUCCUCUCUCUCCCCACUAAAGCCUGCUGUCUCCUGAAUCCUAAGUGAAAGACCACCAAACUCCUGGGAUGCUGCUGGUGAUUACGAAGGGGAUGGGGAACUGUCUAGGCCUCUGAGGCUUCACGCAGCUGAGGUAAAUCUGCAGACACGAAGCAUAGAAAUUGAAGGGGCAAGAUAAACACGUUCUUAUGAAAACCUAACAUCUUGGUGCUCUUGAAAGGAAAAACUAGAACGCAGACACAGUGUGCAACGAGUCUGAGAAAGAAAUCUGUUGGAUGAAAGAGUAAAUAUUUCAAACGGCAGCUUAAGGAGGCUUCUUAAUGAGAAGGCUUGCUGGUUAAGGGAGAAGGCCUGGAGGAUCUUAAGAGCUGGGGAUUCUGAGGAAACACAGCAGCGGAGGGCAGAGGGCAGUCUGGGCUGACGGCACUCCCACUCCCACACUUGUCCUCUGUCACUGCCAGAGAAGCUGGGCUGAAUCGCACUGCCCGUUAACAACAGUUUGUGCCUCUUCCAUGGGUGGCCCUCUUCUCAUGCUGAUGGCAUCUGGGAUUCAGGUCCAAGUACGCAGAUGCCUCAUGUUUGACCUGGCAGAAUGAUGCUGAGAACGCAGCUAGUGUCUGAGGGCAUUUUCAUCCUGUAAACAUGUCGGUACAGCACAAAGGCAUUAUGUUCACUGCAAAUCUGCUCCGCUUUCUGCAUUUGAGGGAUACAGUAGGAAACAGUUGACCCAAAGAGCUUUAUUCUAGCCAGAGAGAUAAAUAUUACACUACCAAUUACCUCUGGAGUACCAUAAUUUAAUGCAGAUAAGACAAUAUCAGGCUGGAGAGAUGGCUCAGCCGUUAAAGGCUAGGCUCACAACCAAAAAUAUAAGACAAUAUCAGAUUUAAAAGGGUGUGUAAUAACAAUAUAAGCAAUGAAAUAUCAUACUAUAUAUAAAGAACUAAAAAUGCAGAAAUAGUGUCCUGGGGCCUGAUAACAUAUAUAAUCCAUACAAGAAUUUAUAAAGGUCAAGAAAAAUGGAGACUCAGGAACAGGUUAGUCAGGUUAUCUAGGGUGAGUUAGCCCAUGCUAAAGGAAGUGGUCAGAGAGCUGCUUUGGUGGAUAGAAACAAAGGAGAAAGGGGGAGGGGAUCUAAUUGUUUUUUUUUUUUUUUUUAUCAAUAAGUAAAACACACUAAAGCAAUUUCUCCUUAAACUUGUAGAUUUGCUCCAUGACUAAGGACAGUUUCUUGUAUGUUCCCUCCCCUUUCAUGUCCCAUGUCUAGUCCUAGGAUUUCUAAUGCAAAAACGGUCAAAAUUUCAGGCUUGCCUAGUAUCUCUGGGGAUGGGCUUUGAGGUUCAAACACACAAGCCAGACCAGACCCAGUGUCUGUCUGUCUGUCUGUCUGUCUGUCUCGGCACCCUCUUUCUACUGCCUGCAGAUACAGAUACAGAAUGCUCAUCUACCUCCCCAGCAUGCUGUCAUGCUUCCUGCCAUGACAAUAAUGGAUCAUGGACUAAACCUCUGAACUGUAAGCCAGCCCCAGCUAACUGCUUUCUUUUAUAAGAGUUACUGUGGUCAUGGUGUCUUUUCACAGCAAUGGAACCCCUAAGACAUGUUCAAUCCCCAGUACAAU